rnacentral:rRNA from 1 species
ACGGGGGGUGCAAGCGUUGUUCGGAAUUAUUGGGCGUAAAGAGCGUGUAGGCGGCUGAAUAAGUCAGAUGUGAAAUCCCUGGGCUUAACCCAGGAAGUGCAUUUGAAACUAUUCGGCUUGAGUAGGGGAGAGGAAAGUGGAAUUCCUGGUGUAGAGGUGAAAUUCGUAGAUAUCAGGAGGAACACCGGUGGCGAAGGCGACUUUCUGGCCCUAUACUGACGCUGAGACGCGAGAGCGUGGGUAGCAAACAGGAUUAGAUACCCUGGUAGUCCACGCUGUAAACGAUGUUCACUAGGUGUUGGGGGUAUUGACCCUCUCAGUGCCGCAGCUAACGCAUUAAGUGAACCGCCUGGGGAGUACGGUCGCAAGAUUA